rnacentral:lncRNA from 1 species
UUUAGCACAGGUUCUUGAUUUCGUUUUCAGAAAACACACACCCAUAUGUCACUGGCAGAGAGCCAGUGGUACAUGAACCAGAAUUCCUGCUUAAAUACUUCCCGGACCUUCAAUGUGCUGCAAACGCAAUCUUGAAAAAAAUUCAUGAAGCUGGAAAAGAUGCCUCCGCUGCGACACAGGAUAACAAUGCUGACAUUGAAGACGACAUUUCCACGCUUAAGAGCCUUUUAAGAGAACCACCACAGAGGCUUCACGCCUUAGCUGUUGUGCAGACGCAGCCGAGCUUGAUAAUGAGAAGAAAGUACGAUGAUCAUCAUCUCAGCCCUGAGGAAUCCUUAUACUACAAUGAAAAUGUUGUGUGUGCCGACACUUUUCGUCUGUGUGCAUUGACGAAAGGUCAGUCAAGUAACUUAAGGUGGCAUCAGGAAAGGCGCUUCCGCAUUAACUGCUCCACUGCACACACAAUUCUCAGAAGUAGGAAGAGCCCCCAGGAAUUGGUUCGCACUCUCCUCUAUGGACCUAAAUUUUUUUCGACAGCCAUGGCACAUGGUACAAAAAUGGAACCAAUAGCGAGGAAAGCGUUUGAAAACAAGCUCAGCACAAAAGUCUAUGAGG